GUGAGGAAUAUUGGUCAAUGGGCGGGAGCCUGAACCAGCCAAGUCGCGUGAAGGAAGAAGGAUCUAUGGUUCGUAAACUUCUUUUGCAGGGGAAUAAAGUGCAGGACGUGUCCUGUUUUGUAUGUACUGUACGAAUAAGGAUCGGCUAACUCCGUGCCAGCAGCCGCGGUAAUACGGAGGAUCCGAGCGUUAUCCGGAUUUAUUGGGUUUAAAGGGUGCGUAGGUGGAUUGAUAAGUCAGCGGUGAAAGUUUGCAGCUUAACUGUAAAAUUGCCGUUGAAACUGUCGGUCUUGAGUGCAAAUGAGGUAGGCGGAAUGUGUUGUGUAGCGGUGAAAUGCUUAGAUAUAACACAGAACUCCGAUUGCGAAGGCAGCUUACUGGGAUGCAACUGACACUGAUGCACGAAAGCGUGGGUAUCAAACAGGAUUAGAAACCCUUGUAGUCC
rnacentral:rRNA from 1 species